rnacentral:snRNA from 1 species
AGAUGUGAGGGCAGUCUGGUUGUGACAUCAUGUGACCAAAAUGAUCACACAAGUUGAUUCAGCUCUUCUAGCUGACUAGGCAAGUGUUUUCUUCAUCCCUCACUGCUCCAUGUGCAUCCUUCCUGAAGCUGAGUGCUCAGAGAGGACAACUGUACCAGCAGUGGAGACCAUUUCUAAGUCAAGGGUAUGUGAGUUGCUGUACUCCCCUGCUAGAACCUCCAAAUAAGUUUUCAAGAUCUCUUCAAUAUAACAAAGUUACUAGACGUUAGUGUUUUUCU